GGAGCGGUAGUUCAGCUGGUUGUGAAUACCUGCCUGUCACGCAGGGUCGCGGGUUCUAUCCCGUCCGCUCCGCCA
rnacentral:tRNA from 1 species